UACGUAGGGGGGCUAGCGUUGUCCGGAUUUAUUGGGCGUAAAGAGCGUGUAGGCGGCCAGGUAGGUCUGCUGUGAAAACUCGAGGCUCAACCUCGAGACGUCGGCGGAAACCAUCUGGCUAGAGUCCGGAAGAGGAGAGUGGAAUUCCUGGUGUAGCGGUGAAAUGCGCAGAUAUCAGGAAGAACACCCGUGGCGAAGGCGGCCCUCUGGUACGUGACUGACGCUGAGACGCGAAAGCGUGGGGAGCAAACAGG
rnacentral:rRNA from 1 species